GACGAACGCUGGCGGCGUGCUUAACACAUGCAAGUCGAACGGUAAGGCCCUUCGGGGUACACGAGUGGCGAACGGGUGAGUAACACGUGGGUGAUCUGCCCUGCACUUCGGGAUAAGCCUGGGAAACUGGGUCUAAUACCGGCUAGUACCUUGGGAUGCAUGUCCUGGGGGGGAAAGCUUUUGCGGUGUUGGAUGGGCCCGCGGCCUAUCAGCUUGUUGGUGGGGUGAUGGCCUACCAAGGCGACGACGGGUAGCCGGCCUGAGAGGGUGACCGGCCACACUGGGACUGAGAUACGGCCCAGACUCCUACGGGAGGCAGCAGUGGGGAAUAUUGCACAAUGGGCGCAAGCCUGAUGCAGCGACGCCGCGUGAGGGAUGACGGCCUUCGGGUUGUAAACCUCUUUCAGCAUCGACGAAGCGAAAGUGACGGUAGGUGCAGAAGAAGGACCGGCCAACUACGUGCCAGCAGCCGCAGUAA
rnacentral:rRNA from 1 species